rnacentral:rRNA from 1 species
CCUACGGGAGGCAGCAGUGGGGAAUAUUGGGCAAUGGAGGAAACUCUGACCCAGCGACGCCGCGUGCGGGAUGAAGGCCUUCGGGUUGUAAACCGCUUUCAGCAGGGAAGAAGCGAAAGUGACGGUACCUGCAGAAGAAGCACCGGCUAACUAUGUGCCAGCAGCCGCGGUAAUACAUAGGGUGCAAGCGUUGUCCGGAAUUAUUGGGCGUAAAGAGCUCGUAGGUGGUUCGUCACGUCGGAUGUGAAAAUCUGGGGCUUAACCCCAGACCUGCAUUCGAUACGGGCGAGCUUGAGUAUGGUAGGGGAGUCUGGAAUUCCUGGUGUAGCGGUGGAAUGCGCAGAUAUCAGGAGGAACACCAAUGGCGAAGGCAGGACUCUGGGCCAUUACUGACACUGAGGAGCGAAAGCGUGGGGAGCGAACAGGAUUAGAUACCCUGGUAGUCCACGCCGUAAACGGUGGGCACUAGUUGUGGGGACCUUCCACGGUCUCUGCGACGCNGCUACGCAUUAAGUCGCCCCGCCCGUCGGGNGGUACGAGUCGCAGAAUUAAACUACAAGAAGUAGUAGCGNGNGACGNGCCGACGACGACCGACCGACGGGAAGGGUAGGAGG